UUUUUUUUUUGGUGUUUGGUGGUUUUCGUUUGGUUUUUUGUUUUGUUUUGUUUUGUUGAUUUUUUCUUCUAAUGAUUGCAGAUGGAGGUGUUGUUACAUCCUUCCUUUACAAGGCUAAUGAUCAGAGCACUUGCCCAUGAACAACAUCGAAUGUCUUCUGCCUGUUUUACAACAUGUAUAUAGGUGUCAGCUCCCAGCUGAGAUAAAAAACCUCUGUGUGUAACCUGUGUGUAACCACAGCCAGUGGGCCAUUAUAGCAAAGGAAAGGACCUGUGGGAUCCCUUGAAGCAUAGUAGAAGGUAUUUUGCUUCAGGAGUCUGUCCAGGAUCUGAAGAGAAAAGAGAUGUAUGAUUCCAUUGCUGCUUCAGGAGAUGAUAACUUCCUGCAUGUUUUUCACAGUGUUUCUGGACCCCUUGUUUAAGGAACCUAUACCUCCAGGAAGCCUUAGCACUAGGUAAUGUACAUAGAGAUGGAAUGGAUGUUUUAGAAUGCCUUCUGAUUUGGCCCUGAAGGGAACUGGACUCAGCUGAAGAGGCCCAAAUGCUCUGUGGGUUGUAUGGACACAAUUCCAGCAAUAGGAAGGCUAUUUUUUCCCAGGGACACAACCAUCCUUGGAAUUCCACAGCAGCUUUAUGACUAGGUGUGACUAGGUGUUAUAGUGCUGUUGAUAUGGGGCUCAAAGAGAUAAUUUGUAAGGGUAGAGGUGUCCAGCUGGAAGUUAAACAGGCCUGAUUAUUUGCACAAGUCUGGGCCUAUCUGAAUUGUUUUCACUACUGCAAUAUACCAGCCUCUUUUUUUACCAUGCAUUUGACUUUGAUUCCUCUAUUUAUCCUCCUUAAUAACAGUCUUUGCUUUUAUGGAAAUGGAUUACGUCUGUCAGUUCAGGCUGGAAGUUGUGCUUGUGUUUUUUCUAAACCUCCAGCUCCUCUAACAGCACUGCAUCUGUGCUAUGUGAUUCAUUGUGAGCUAUAAAGCACAGCAGUGCUUUGGUGACAGUGUGUGUGUAAGCUCUGCUUUGUACAUGGACAGCUGAAGGUCGAGAAACUGGGAUGCCUUAGGAAUGCAGAAGCAGAGCCCUGCCAGAUUCCCUGGGGUCCCAGAGGUGUUUAUACACAGAGGCAUUUGAGAUGUGUUUCCAUUCUCUCUGCGUGGCUCCAAGCUGUGCCUGGGAACUGGCACAGCUGGCAUUAUUUUAAGGCCCUUUUACUGUGUUUUAAACUUAUCAUAUAAGAUUACAAAAAAUGCCACUUUGGAGAGCAAAUGUGGUGAAUUCUAUCCCUGAAUUCAAGAAAACAUUGUAACUGUUUAUGAAUGUAACAACACAAAGAGGGUAAUUGUUCAAUCUGCCUAAUUUUUCUAACUGGAAGCAUCUUUUCCUGUAAUUUUAAGAGCCUAGGAUCCUAACAAUAUCUUGGGCUUUAAUAAUUUUAGCUAAGAUACCAAUAUUGUUGCUUCUGAAGAUAUUUAGUUAUCAAACUUGUGGCCACCUACAUAUCAUGCCACCUGUCAGGUCUUUUUCAAUCAAAACAUGAUGCAUGUUUUAUCUUGCCCUUAUUUCCAAACAUUGUUGUCAAUAAGAUGCAUUCUAAAAUACAAGCCAUUAGUCUUCUCUGGGAUGUGAAUAGAAUCACAUGAAAAUAAAUGGCCACCACUUUGAUACUACAAAGGUGAUGAGCAGGGAAGUUGUUCUAGUAUAUUCUGAAAUUUGUUAAAAAUGCAUGUGUCUACAUGCUCAGAAAGGUCUGGAAAGAGCUAAUCUCUAAUGGAUUGCUCAGUUCUCUCUCUGAAGUGUCUGUGGGCAAAACCGGGUAAGUAGGCACAUCAAAACUUACAUAUGAAAAUUUUUGUUCCUGUGCUGGAUAUGCCUUUUAAGUGCUUAGGCAUUGAGUGCUCUCUCUGCUGAAAUGCAAAACCGGUGCAUAUAAAUGCUACCAGAAAGGAAGAAGUAUGCUCUCAUCAGAGAGAAAAAUUGAGAAGGUGUGCUAGAAACAUGAGACCUGCAGAUUUUCCUGGGGAAAAAAAAAUGCUGUUAGCAGCAACCCACCCAGAGUUUUUAGCCUGGAGAAAACAUAUCUCACUGUAAACCUGCGUGAAGCCCAAAGAAGUGGUUGAAGAAAGAUUAGGAUAUACUGUGUUCUCAGUUUUCCUUUGAGCCACCUCCAGACAGUCCCUCUUUGGCAUCCUAAUCUUUGAAAUCCCUUUCUGAGACAUCCUAACUCUCAAAUAAACAUAAGGAGUCAGGGAUCCCAGAGGAGGAAAACCAACAGCUUCUCCUUUGAGCCUUGCAAACCCUGGAAUAAAACCAGCACAACACUUUAUGUGCUGGUUCCUCCCACUAAAAUCCAGCAUCCACACCUAUAGUAAAAGUCUGAACUUAAACCCAAGCAGAUGCCAUGUCAUACUGAUACCAUAGCAAAGGCCUUUCUUCCUCCAUUUUUUUCCUAGGAAUGGGGAGGAAGAGGAGAGAAAGGCAGGUAACAGGGAAGUAAAGCUGGACAAUGGAUGGGAGGAAAAGAUAACUCUAUUCUCAGGUAAUAUUGGCAUAAUUUGAACAAUAUAAAAAUUUGUUCUCAAUGGGGUCAUUAUUUUUAUGUCUUUUUCUUAAACAAGUAUGCCAUGCAAGUCUUGAAAAAACGUUUAAGUUUGGUCAUGUAGGAAUGUGUGCUGAACUCCAAAAUAGGUCUUUGGUUAAUUAUCUAGCCUCUCUCCCUGCACAUGCUCUGGUCUGGUUGUUCAAUCAUGGGAAGAAAUUACCUGUGGCAGGGACAGGUUACAGGGGCUUAAAGUGAGAGCAGAGGGAAUGAGCCUGAGCAUUUUUUUGUGUCACAGCCCUUGAUUUAUUGUUUCUUUAUUCACAUGAAAGACAAAUUAAUUGAGUAAAUUAUAUAGCAUCUCUUACUUCUGUUAUCAUAGUAGCAGGGUAUGCUAAAUGGAGCAAAUCAACCAAAUCAUUACUUAAUCAUGUGAUUAAUUCAUUGUCAUGGAUUUUUCCCCAUGAAUAUUCAUUUUGUCCUUGCAAAUGCAUUGCUGUUUCAUUUGCCUGUAACCAUUAUUUAGGUUUUUUCACUAAUUAGUAAAUACAUAUUACAUUAAUGUCUUUAAACUUGGAUGAAAUCGCAAGUACUUAAUUCAGGUUACAAAUGUCUUUGUGCUAUGCUACUAACAUGUUUAUUUAAAGAAUUUUGUAGGGAAAGUUGUAUAAAAUAAAGAAUUUUGCAGGAGUCAUGAAGAAACUCACAAGAGAAGUAAAGAAGACAUUUUCUACUGUGUGUGCUGAAACUGCUGGAGAGUGAGCCCUCCACCUGCACAACUUUCUGAAUAAAUAUUUCAGCAGCGCAAUGAUGGAAUGGGCUGUGGUAUGAAGCAGAUGUGAUGUCAAAGAAGCAAAAGCUGCAGGUGAAUUAAUUGAAGCCAUGUGUGACGGUAAAAAGUGGAAUAUCAGUAAAAUGAAUGCUUCAGAAUGAGGAGCAAACCUGCACCCUGUUGGCUUAAAGAAAGCACACUUUGCUUCAUUAGAGAGGGAUAUCUGGAAAGAGAUUUGACAGAUCCUGGGGCCCUGAGGAACACAAUUGCUUUAACACCCAUGUCUGCCUUGUAGCUGCAGCGCCAGGGACCCUGCCUCGGUCAUAUUUGGCACCUCGGCACAGUUCUUCAUUUCUUCUUUUUGCCUGACAGUUGUGCUCAUGGCUUUGUCAUCCCAGUAAGUGGGAGUACAAGAGCUGGCAACAUCCUGGCAUCCUUUCUGAACGCACGCACUGGAUAGUUUUGUUGAAUGCCGUUCUGUCACGAUGUUCAAAGCAAACAUCUACUGCAAUGCAGCUGUUUGAGCUGUGCCUGCACUUGGAACAUCUCAUCUGCAGCUGAUGAGAAAUUGUGGGAGCUAAGAUUCAUCUCAAGAUGCAGUGCCAAGGCCCUGACAUGCUUCAUCUUUUUCUUCCACAGUAAGUUCUCUUUUCUAUUUAUUACAGCUGUUUCCUCCACUUGGUCCCUUUUGCACAGCAUGCUUUGCUGUGUGUGUGCUCCUGGGAACUGUGUGGGCAGAUGCAGAUCAUGAGAAGGGAAAAUGUGAGCAAUUCACAAAGUCCUUUGACUUACAGUACAGGCAAUACAAUUACUGGCCAAUAUGAGGAAGCACAGGUGAUGGGAAAUAGGUUACAGAUUCAAAAAACUCUUCUUCAAGAAGAGGAAAUUUUUGAAGAAGAAAUAUUCAGUGUUUUAAUUUUAUAAGAAUCAUAGAAUCAUAGAAUAUCCUGAAUUGGAAGGGACCCACAAAUAUCACUGAGUCCAGCUCCUGGCCCCGCGCAGGACAGCCUCAAGAAUCACACUAUGUGCUCAACAACAUCGUCCAAAAGCUUCUUCCAACAAGCCUUUGGAUGAAAAACCUUUUCCUAGAAUCCAAGGUAAACCCCCCUGACCCAGCUUCAGUCCAUUCCCUCGGGUGCUGUCACUGGUCAUCAGAGAAAAGAGAUUGGUGCCUGCCCCUCCACUUGCCCUUGUGAGGAUGUUGAAGAGCACAAAGAAGUGCCCCCUCAGUCUUCUCUUCUCCAGGCUGAACAAGCCAAGUGACCUCAGCCUCUCCUCAUAAGGCUUUCUCUUCAGACCCUUCACCAUAUUUGUAGCCCUUUUUUGGACACUCCCUUUCUAUCUAAUCUUUCUGUCUUUCUCAAAUGGUGGUGCCCAAAACUGCACACAGGACUGAGGUGAGGCUGCUCCAGCUCAGAGCAGAGCAGGACAAUCCCCUCCCUUGCCUGGCUGGUGAUGCUGUGCCUGAUGCACCCCAGGACAGGCUUGGCCCUCCUGGCUGCCAGGGCACUGCUGACUCAUCUUCUCAUUGAUGAGGACCCCCUGUAAGUGAUCCUGCUCUCCAGAAUCUCAUUCCCCACUCUAUCCAUACAUCCGGGCUUGCCCCAUCCCAGGCAAAGAAUCCAGCACCUGUCUUUGUUAAACUUCAUAUGGUUGGUGAUUUCCCAUCUCCCUAACUUCAGGGGAGAAUUUUUUUUUUUUGAGGGGGGAAAGAGGGAUGAAUAAAGCAAAGGGGAAUGUUUCUGUUCUGGAGUCUGGAGUGCCCUGUGCUCCUACCUAAAGAAGGGCAAAUUAUUUUCUCAUGUUGACUUUACCUAAAUGGAGUCAAUCUGAUCCCUUGUUUUGGUACAAAGUGAGACAACGGAGGAUUUUAAAAUUAAAGGAGUUGUGGCAUUUACUGAGCAGACUGGAAAGAGGCAUGGACAACACAUCCCUAUUGCCACAUCUAUUCUUUCCUAGCUACUAUCACAGGCAAUGGUCUGGCAUUAUCCCUUGGUGGGAAGAGAUGUUAGAGGAGGAAGAGUGGAGGUAGGACCUGGGCCAGAGGCCUUACAUAAUCCAAGCCUGAGCACAUGGAAAGCCUCUUUGCCAGAAGAAUUUCUGCCUACCAACUUUGAGGUAACACUACUGCAACAGAAGCUUGCCACUUUUGAACGUGGCUCUUUUGAUAGAUUUGGCUGUAUUGGUAAAGUUCUUGUAUCUCAUAUAUGAGAACACAAACAUCUAGUUUGUCUCUUUGUUUUUCCCUUAGUAUUCACAGUUUGCUCUGGGCACUUGCAGCAUUUAGGAAGAAUAUCAGUCUGAUUUGUUGCCUGCAAGAGAGUCUAAUUAAAACAAGAGAGCAGGAUGGGAACUGAUGACACAUAGUGCAGCUGAGCUGCUCCCAAAGCUGAACAUGGCAGCUGUGGUUUUCGUCAUUUGCAAAGCCUCAGCCAACACGUUGGCCCACAGAGUUAAAAUAAAUGUCUAAUUAUGUUGUUUAAUUAUUUCAGUUCCAAAUUCCUGCUUGAAAAGUAUUGCAAAAGAUGUGAGAGAAGCACUGAGAGAGCCAUUAUCACGUCUGUGGCUUGCCAGUAAAUCAGAAAUCACAAUGCUUUCUCUUAGUCAGGUUCCUCCCUUCCCCGUGCCUGUGGUCAGGCUGCAGAGGAAGGAGUGUGUGUGCUUGAACCAGCCUCCAGCCCUCUCCCCUCCCCUGUCACUUGGCACUGACUCACAGCACUGUUUUUCAACAUGAUGCUAAUUAGCUGCUGAGUAGUGAGAUACUGUGAACUCUGAGAGAAAAGACAGAAAAAGACUUCAAAGAUGUUUACCAUUUUUUCCUUUUUUAAUUGUGACAGUAAUAAAAAAAUUUCUUAUCACUGCUGUCUGGAUCCAGCAAUUUCUUGUGUGCAGGAAGACAUUGCUCCAGGUUAUUCUGGGGUGAGGAGGUUGUGACUUUGCUUUCCAUGCAGUGGGCCAAAAAGAGGGAGCAAAUAUGGAUUGCUGUGCUAAAUCUGGUGGCUAUAAUUUGACUUAUAAUUCCACUUGGUACUAGUGUGCCAAGCAGAGGAAAAUUGAUGCAGGAAGAGAGACUGAGACUCCUGUAUCCUUGGCAUGUCUU